CGGUGCGGUGGCUGAGCGGUUGAAGGCGCUCGACUUGAAAUCGAGUGAACCUGAAAGGGUUCCGGGGGUUCGAAUCCCUCUCGCACCGU
rnacentral:tRNA from 1 species